AUUUUUGUGUGUUUUUCUCGUUUUCAAGUCAUAGUUUUUUUGUUGGUUUAAGUUCCUGCAUCACUUAUUUUGAGUCAUUUCAAACAAAGAUCCAUUCCGAUUCAAAGCUUCUUACCUCUCAAGUAACUUGUCAAGUAUUGCUGGUUCUCCAACACUAGUGAAGCCAAGUGUCAGGUGACGUGUAGUGUGAGUGAAGUGAGGCUUUUGAAAUAACUCGUUUGCUCAUUUUGUAGGUUAUUUUGCUUGCUGUUUUUUGCACUUCGUAGGUACAUUUUCCAUGGAAACCGAAGGUACCACUUCCCAACCUUUCGAAAAUAAUGUUAUGGAAGUUUUAAUGGACCAAAUGGAGGCCUUGAGUCAAGAAAUGAAGAGCGGAAAUGAUGCUAUAAGGAGAGAUAUGGAUUCAAUGAGGGGUGACAUGAUUAGAAUUAGAGCAAGGGUUGAUAGACUAUGUCCACCAAAAUCUCCACAAUUUCAAACACCUCAAGUCCAAAGAUCCUAUACUUUACAAAAUCCAAUGUCUCCUCUCCAUGAGUUAGAAAUAAAAGAGAGUGAGGCCAAGCCUCA
rnacentral:lncRNA from 1 species